GAACGAGAAAGUCUAGCUUCGGUUAGACGAGUACAGUGGCGAAAGGGUGAGUAAUACGUAGACAACCUACCCCAGAGAGGGGGAUACCCUUUCUAACGGAAGGUUAAUACCGCAUAAGACCCCGGUGUCGCCUGGCACUGUGGUCAAAGGUGGGGAUCCUUCGGGACCUACCGCUUUGGGAGGGGUCUACGCCUUAUCAGGUUGUUGGCGGGGUAACGGCCCACCAAGCCUGUGACGAGUAGCCGGCCUGAGAGGGUGAUCGGCCACAUCGGGACUGAGACACUGCCCGGACUCCUACGGGAGGCUGCAGUUCGGAAUCAUUCGCAAUGGGCGCAAGCCUGACGAUGCGACGCCGCGUGGAGGAUUGAAGGCUUUCGGGUUGUAAACUCCUGUCACUGGUUAUGAAAUGUAGGCGGGCGAAUAGUCCGUUUGCUUGACAAAGGCCAGAGAGGAAGCACCGGCUAAUUCCGUGCCAGCAGCCGCGGUAAUACGGAAGGUGCAAGCGUUGUUCGGUGUUAUUGGGCAUAAAGGGCGCGUAGGCGGCUGAGUAUGUCAGAGGUGAAAUCCCCGAGCUCAACUCGGGAACUGCCUCUGAAACUGCUCGGCUUGAGGACCGGAGGGGGAAGUGGAACGUUGCAUGUAACGGUGAAAUGUGUAGAUAUGCAACGGAAGGCCGGUGGCGAAGGCGGCUUCCUGGACGGUACCUGACGCUGAGGCGCGAAAGCGUGGGGAGCGAACGGGAUUAGAU
rnacentral:rRNA from 1 species